UAUAAACUUGAUUCCAAUUUAUUUUUUCCCUCUUCUUUUUCCCUAUAUAAUAUUAUUUAAUUAAUUAGUGAUAUUUAGUGGGGGGAUUUGGGUGAUAGUAGUAAACUUAACAGAAAUAAGAGGUAUUUUCAACCAAACUUGUGCCAGCAGUUGCGGCUAUACAGGUGAGGCAGGGGAGAGUCGUGCGGUGCUAGUAGUUUGAUUAAUCGUGAGUAUUUUAUUAGACUUGGGGUGGGUAAAAUCUUCUUUGUUCUUGUAUAUAGAAGUGAUUAUGAAUAAAGUGCUAAGAAGAUUAAGAUUAAACCUGGAUUAGAUACCCAGUUAUUCUAAAAGUAAAGUUUUCACAUGAGUAGUAUUAGGGUGCUUGAACUUUAAUGAAUUUGGCGGUGUUUUAGGCUUGUUAGAGGAACUUGUUCUGUAAUCGAUGGUCCUCGAUUAGGGAACUUUCUUUAGCUUUCAAUUUGUAUAUCGCUGUCGUCAGAGAGCUUUUUUAGAUGGCGCUUUCUGCUUCCACUAUCUGGAGGACGUCAAGUCAAGGUGCAGUUAAUGAGAAAGGUUGAAUAAUGAGUUACAAUAAAUGUAUUUAUAAACGGAAAUUGGAUGGAAAUACUUAAGUAAGGUGGAUUUAUUUGUAAGUGUUUACUAGAACGAAAUACUGAAAAAGCUCUGAAACAUGUACAUAUCGCCCGUCAUUCUUGUCUUUAGAUGAGACAAGUCGUAACAUAGUAGGGGUAUUGGAAGAUGUCUCUGGAGGAGC
rnacentral:rRNA from 1 species